CAGUCGAGGGGUAACAGAGAAUAGUUUACUAUUUUGCUGACGACCGGCGCACGGGUGAGUAACGCGUAUACAAUUUGCCUUUUACAGGAGGAUAGCCCAGAGAAAUUUGGAUUAAUACUCCAUGGUAUUACGAGAUCGCAUGGUUUUGUAAUUAAAGUUUCGGCGGUAGAAGAUGAGUAUGCGUCCUAUUAGCUAGUUGGUAAGGUAACGGCUUACCAAGGCGACGAUAGGUAGGGGUCCUGAGAGGGAGAUCCCCCACACUGGUACUGAGACACGGACCAGACUCCUACGGGAGGCAGCAGUGAGGAAUAUUGGUCAAUGGAGGCAACUCUGAACCAGCCAUGCCGCGUGCAGGAAGACUGCCCUAUGGGUUGUAAACUGCUUUUAUACAGGAAGAAACUUACCCACGUGUGGGUAACUGACGGUACUGUACGAAUAAGGACCGGCUAACUCCGUGCCAGCAGCCGCGGUAAUACGGAGGGUCCAAGCGUUAUCCGGAAUCAUUGGGUUUAAAGGGUCCGUAGGCGGGCGAUUAAGUCAGAGGUGAAAUCCCACAGCUCAACUGUGGAACUGCCUUUGAUACUGGUUGUCUUGAGUUACAGUGAAGUAGAUAGAAUAUGUAGUGUAGCGGUGAAAUGCAUAGAUAUUACAUAGAAUACCGAUUGCGAAGGCAGUCUACUAACUGUCAACUGACGCUGAGGGACGAAAGCGUGGGGAGCGAACAGGAUUAGAUACCCUGGUAGUCCACGCCGUAAACGAUGGUCACUAGUUGUUGGGGCUUUAUGCUUCAGUGAUUAAGCGAAAGUGAUAAGUGACCCACCUGGGGAGUACGAUCG
rnacentral:rRNA from 1 species